ACUUAAGCAUAUCAAUAAGCGGAGGAAAAGAAACCAACAGGGAUUGCCCCAGUAACGGCGAGUGAAGCGGCAACAGCUCAAAUUUGAAAUCUGGUCCCCAGGGCCCGAGUUGUAAUUUGUAGAGGAUGCUUUUGGCGAGGCGCCUUCCGAGUUCCCUGGAACGGGACGCCACAGAGGGUGAGAGCCCCGUCUGGUCGGAUGCCAAGCCUAUGUAAAGCUCCUUCGACGAGUCGAGUAGUUUGGGAAUGCUGCUCAAAAUGGGAGGUAUAUGUCUUCUAAAGCUAAAUAUUGGCCAGAGACCGAUAGCGCACAAGUAGAGUGAUCGAAAGAUGAAAAGCACUUUGAAAAGAGGGUUAAAAAGUACGUGAAAUUGUUGAAAGGGAAGCGCCUAUGACCAGACUUGGGCCCGGUGAAUCAUCCAGCGUUCUCGCUGGUGCACUUUGCCGGGCACAGGCCAGCAUCAGUUUGGCGCGGGGGAUAAAGGCUUCGGGAAUGUGGCUCCCUCGGGAGUGUUAUAGCCCGUUGUGUAAUACCCUGCGCCGGACUGAGGUACGCGCUCCGCAAGGAUGCUGGCGUAAUGGUCAUCAGCGACCCGUCUUGAAACACGGACCAAGGAGUCGUCUUCGUAUGCGAGUGUUCGGGUGUAAAACCCCUACGCGUAAUGAAAGUGAACGCAGGUGAGAGCUUCGGCGCAUCAUCGACCGAUCCUGAUGUUCUCGGAUGGAUUUGAGUAAGAGCAUACGGGGCCGGACCCGAAAGAAGGUGAACUAUGCCUGUAUAGGGUGAAGCCAGAGGAAACUCUGGUGGAGGCUCGCAGCGGUUCUGACGUGCGAAUCGAUCGUCAAAUAUGGGCAUGGGGGCGAAAGACUAAUCGAACCUUCUAGUAGCUGGUUUCCGCCGAAGUUUCCCUCAGGA
rnacentral:rRNA from 1 species